rnacentral:rRNA from 1 species
AGAUUAAGUUAUUAAGGGCGCACGGUGGAUGCCUUGGCACUAGAAGCCGACGAAGGACGUUACUAACGACGAUAUGCUUUGGGGAGCUGUAAGUAAGCUUUGAUCCAGAGAUUU